rnacentral:rRNA from 1 species
UGGGGAAUAUUGGACAAUGGGCGAAAGCCUGAUCCAGCCAUGCCGCGUGAGUGACGAAGGCCUUAGGGUUGUAAAGCUCUUUUGGCGGGGACGAUAAUGACGGUACCCGCAGAAUAAGCCCCGGCUAACUUCGUGCCAGCAGCCGCGGUAAUACGAAGGGGGCUAGCGUUGUUCGGAAUCACUGGGCGUAAAGCGCACGUAGGCUGACUGGUCAGUUGGGGGUGAAAUCCCGGGGCUCAACCUCGGAACUGCCUUCAAUACUGCCAGUCUUGAGUCCGAGAGAGGUGAGUGGAAUUCCUAGUGUAGAGGUGAAAUUCGUAGAUAUUAGGAAGAACACCAGUGGCGAAGGCGGCUCACUGGCUCGGUACUGACGCUGAGGUGCGAAAGCGUGGGGAGCAAACAGGAUUAGAUACCCCCGUAGUCC